GCCCGUCUAGCUCAGUUGGGAGAGCGCACGGCUUUUAACCUUGCGGUCGUGGGUGCAAGCCCCGCGGUGGGCG